rnacentral:rRNA from 1 species
UAGAGGAAGUAAAAGUCGUAACAAGGUUUCCGUAGGUGAACCUGCGGAAGGAUCAUUAAAAAUAUUUAGCACCUCUGGUGUUAACUUCAACACAUUAUUGAAAACAACAGCUUUGGCGGCUUGCCGUCAAAGAUUAAACUCAACCUUUUUUAUUAUAAAUUUUGUCACAACAAAUUAUAACCUAAAAACUUUCAACAACGGAUCUCUUGGUUCUCGCAUCGAUGAAGAACGCAGCGAAAUGCGAUAAGUAAUAUGAAUUGCAGACUUUGUGAAUCAUCGAAUUUUUGAACGCACAUUGCGCCUUGUGGUAUUCCACAAGGCAUGCCUGUUUGAGCGUCAGACUCCCUCAAACCCUCGGGUUUGGCAGUGAGUGCACAAGCUCUUUAAAUUUGUCUACUCGAAAAUUAGUUUAGGAACAUCUCAUGUCUAGGAUUACCCACUCAUGAGUUGACCUUUUGAACUUUUUAAAUUUUCGACCUCAAAUCAGGUAGGACUACCCGCUGAACUUAAGCAUAUCAAUAA